ACCAAAACGGUGCAUUGAAAAUCAUCAAAUAGAGAAAAAAAAGAAAGUAAAAUAAACUGUUCAUUAAAACACAAGAAAAUGAAAUGAAACGUCAAAACUCAAAGAAACUCGGGCCUGGAAACUCUUCUUCUCUGUCGUUUGAAUUGUGUAUCAGCUACUCAAAGAGAUCGAUUAUCACCCAAAAUCAAAUCUUUGAAGCCUUAUUCUUGGUCAAGAUCACGAGUUCAUUGGGCAGAAAAAAUGUCGCAAAGUCCGGACUCUAUUUUUCCAUCUAUCCUUCGUCUCCGUCGCUUCUCUUAGCGCGAUUCACCAGCCCUUCCACCGCGUACAGGACCUACUCUAUUUAGUAUUGGGGGUUUUCAUGCCGACAUCCUUCUAUUGCCAUCCCGUGAGCCGCUUUGUUGGCUUCCCUUGAGUUUAAUUUGUGUAUUAUGGUUAACGUAUCUCCUUCAACACAAAUAUCCUGGAAACUCAUUUCCUCUGCCAUAGUAAUGGCCUGCAAACACGCCCUUGCCUCGACCAUAACCGGAUCUGCGAUAUUCUCCCAUGGAAAGACAUCUAAAUUUUUAGUUUUUGUGACAAAAUUUUUCGUUUGUUUAAAUUUAAAUGGGUGAAAGAGAUUCAAAAAAUGAAAGAUUCUGGCUUGGGGGGAUGUCUGUACGCCUAAAGGGAGGAUUAGGCAUUCAUCAAAUGAAUCAAGUGAAUGAGGCCCUGCUCGACAAAACCGCUUGGAGAGACUAUAUCGACUGAAUCGUUUUUCCAAUUGGAUUCUCUGUUGCAUGUUGGAUUUGUCGCUCCCAACCCGCUCAAUACCUACUAUGUAAAGGUGCAAUCUUUGAAUAGGUGACUCACCAUUUCCUCAUCUUCUUGACAAACCGGACAAAGUGUAUUUACAACCAGUUUACGAACUCUUAGAUUAUGUAAAAUGGGUAUAUAAUCAUUAGCAAUUCUCCACAUAUGUAUUCGGAUUUUGCUUGGCACCUUAAGAACCCAUAGCUUUGUAAAGAAAGUAGUUGGAAUUUCAUUCUGUAAUCUAGGUCCCUCUGCUGUAAUUAGCCAUUUGUAGCCACUUUUAACUAUAUAAACCCCUUGUAUUGUCA